rnacentral:rRNA from 1 species
CACGUAGGGCGCGAGCGUUGUCCGGAAUUAUUGGGCGUAAAGAGCUCGUAGGCGGCCUGUUGCGUCCGCUGUGAAAGCCCGGGGCUUAACCCCGGGUCGGCGGUGGAUACGGGCAGGCUAGAGGUAGGUAGGGGAGAAUGGAAUUCCCGGUGUAGCGGUGAAAUGCGCAGAUAUCGGGAGGAACACCGGUGGCGAAGGCGGGUCUCUGGGCCGAUAUUGACGCUGAGGAGCGAAAGCGUGGGGAGCGAACAGG